GUUUGAGUUCACUGCUGGACGACACACCUAUGAAGUCAAUUUGGAAGACAUGAUCCAGAGUAACAAGAGCUCACACACCCUAAGAUGGGUCAGAAGACGGCCUAUCUUCAACUCUGCCAUAGAUGUUCAGAGAGCAAUUUGGUAAGAGUGAAAUACAGCUAAUGUAAUUAAUACCACAUUCAAAUAAUCUAGGCAAGAUCAUUUAAUGAAGCAAUUAUGCUUUUAAAAAAAAUAUAUAAGCCUAUAUACAUUUUUUUGUAUAGUAGUACAUUAGUGGUAGAGAUGUAGUAGAUCGGGAGGAUAUGAAGAGGGACAAACAGUAAGGAAAUGUUAGGUCACAGACAGGAGAGACCAAGGUGACACUUGACCUCCCGUUACUGGGGGAAUAUAUGGUCUGGGAAGUUUAUGUCUCCAAAUUUGUAAUAGCUACACUUCCGUUCAAACGUUUGGGGUCACUUAGAAAUGCCCUUUUAAAAAAAAUAAAAAAAAUAAAAAUAAUCAGAAAUACAGUGUAGACAUUGUUAAUGUUGUAAAUGACUGCUGUAGCUGGAAACGGCAGAUUUUAUUUGAUGGAAUAUCUAUAUAAGCGUACAGAGGCCCAUUAUCAGCAACCAUCACUCCUGUGUUCCAAUGGCACAUUGUGUUAGCUAAUCAAAGUUUAUAAUUUUAAAAGGCUAAUUGAUGAUUAGAAAACCCUUUUGCAAUUAUGUUAGCACAGCUGAAAACUGUUGUUCUGAUUAAUGAAGCAUUACAACUGGCCUUCUUUAGACUAGUUGAGUAUCUGUAGCAUCAGCAUUUGUGGGUUCGAUUACAGGCUCAAAAUGGCCAGAAACAAAGAUCUUUCUUCUGAAACUCGUCCGUCUAUUCUUGUUCUGAGAAAUGAAGGCUAUUCAAUGUGAGAAAUUGCCAAGAAACUGAAGAUCUGGUACAACGCUGUGUACUACUCCCUUCACAGAACAGCGCAAACUGGCCCUAGACAGAAUAGAAAGAGGAGUGGGAGGCCUCGGUGCACAACUGAGCCAGAGGACAAGUACAUUAAAGUGUCUAGUUUGACAAACAGACGCCUCAUGAAAUAGUACACGCAAAACACCAGUCUCAACGUCAAAAGUGAAGAGGUGACUCCGGGUUGCCGGCCUUCUAGGCAGAGUUGCAAAGAAAAAGCCAUAUCUCAGACUGGCCAAUAAAAAUAAAAUAUUAAGAUGGGCAAAAGAACAGACACUGGACAGACAAAUCUAAGUUUGAGGUGUUCGGAUCACAAAGAAGAACAUUCGUGAGAUGCUGGAGGAGUGCUUGAUGCCAACUGUCAAGCAUGGUGUUGGCAAUGUGAUGGUCUGGGGGUGCUUUGGUGGUGGCAAAGUGGAGAUUUGUACAGGAUAAAAGGGAUCUUGAAGAAGGAAGACUAUCACUCCAUUUUGCAAUGCCAUGCCACCCUGUGGACGGAGCUUAAUUGGAGCCAAUUUCCUCCAGCAACAGGACAAUGACCCAAAGCAGAACUCCAAAUUAUGCAAUAACUAUUUAGGGAAGAAGCAGUUAGCUGGUAUAUAUAUAUAUAAUAGAGUGGCAAGCACAGUCACCAGAUCUCAACCCUAUUGAGCUGUUGUGGGAGCAGCUUGACCGUAUGGUACGUAAGAAGUGCCCAUCAAGCCGAUCCAAUUUGUGGGUGAAAUCUCUUCAGAUUAGCUCAACAAAUUGAUAACUAGAAUGGCAAAGGUCUGCAAGGCUGUAAUUGCUGCAAAUGAUUUGACGAAAGCAAAGUUUGAAGGACACAAUUCUUUUUUCAAUUAAAAAUCAUUAUUUAUAACCUUGUCAACGUCUUAACUAUUUCAUAUUCAUUUUGCAACUCAUUUCAUGUAUGUUGUCAUGGAAAACGAGGACAUUUCUAAGUGACCCCAAACUUUUGAACGGUAGUGUACCUUUAGCCCUGUUUAUACCAUCGGAACAAGGUGUCAUAAUACUCCACCCAAAAAUACAACGUGAGACCCAUAUAUACACAAUACACGGGACCAGACCUGUAAUAACAAGUGCACAACAAUACACUGGACGAGACCCGUAAUAAUGAGUACUCAAUACACGCAGCACAAAAGCCGAGACAACAAAGCACAGGUACUCACAAGACCAACAGACAUGGGAACAAUAACCGACCAAGACAAUGGUGAACAGAGGGCACAUAUAUACAAUUACUAAUCAGGGGACAGGGAACCAGGCGUGCAUAAUGAGACAGUUCAGUGACGCCUAGAGACUGGUGACGUAGACCUCCGGAACUGGCACACAGAAUGAGCAGCAGUACCAGGGGAUCCGUGACAAAGACACAAUGUAUCAAAUGAAUUGAUGGGGAAAGUCUAAAGGGGAGCGAGAGACAGGCAUGUGAUAGUGAUGAUGAUGACAUCAUCAAAAAUGAUAUGCUGCCUGUAAUAUAGCCUAGAUAAUGAUCCGUGGUUAAUCCAUUCUAAUAAAGGGGGUGGUUAAAGACAUUCCAGUCAAAUGGGUAAAGAUACGUGUCACAGUGUUGAAGCGUCAAUUAAUCUACGCUCAUCUUUUCCCAUUGACUGCACGUAUAUUGACAUAAGCAUCAACUCUGUAACAAUUUUAUUUUCCCAUUUGCACCACAAAGCCGACUGGGAGCAUGACCAAUUGACAUAAGCGUCAAUUGGUUGAUGCCUAACUUUUAGAAAAAUUGUGAAAAGAAUGAUGUUUUCCCAUGAUAUGUUUUUGGAUCAUAACAUUUCCUUGAUUAAUUGAGUGACAAUAUAUCAAUGUAUUAGAAACACGACAGGCAUAAAUAAGGUCAAUGGAAAAGGGAAAACCAUUAACGUGAAAAAAGGAAAGUGCACUCCAAUGACAUGUAAUGUACACUUCAUUUUUAUACAAACCUUCAGUAAAAAUGCAACUCGAGCUCCAAAUGAAACACCAUCCCUUGCCGUAACUGCAGCAACAGAAUUAUGGCUGCCCAUUUUAAUUACGCUUUAAUUACGGAGUGUGGGGCCGUCUGUGGUACGGUAUGUAGAUUAUGGGAUGUUUCUGCUUUAAUUACGGAGUGUGGGGCCGUCUGUGGUACGGUAUGUAGAUUAUGGGAUGUUUCUGCUUUAAUUACGGAGUGUGGGGCCGUCUGUGGUACGGUCUGUAGAUUAUGGGAUGUUUCUGCUUUAAUUACGGAGUGUGGGGCCGUCUGUGGUACGGUAUGUAGAUUAUGGGAUGUUUCUGAUUUAAUUACGGAGUGUGGGGCCGUCUGUGGUACGGUAUGUAGAUUAUGGGAUGCUUCUGCUUUAAUUACGGAGUGUGGGGCCGUCUGUGGUACGGUGUGUAGAUUAUGGCAUGUUUCUGCUUUAAUUACGGAGUGUGGGGCCGUCUGUGGUACGGUCUGUAGAUUAUGGCAUGUUUCUGCUUUAAUUACGGAGUGUGGGGCCGUCUGUGGUACGGUCUGUAGAUUAUGGCAUGUUUCUGCUUUAAUUACGGAGUGUGGGGCCGUCUGUGGUACGGUAUGUAGAUUAUGGCAUGUUUCUGCUUUAAUUACGGAGUGUGGGGCCGUCUGUGGUACGGUAUGUAGAUUAUGGCAUGUUUCUGCUUUAAUUACGGAGUGUGGGGCCGUCUGUGGUACGGUAUGUAGAUUAUGGGAUGUUUCUGCUUUAAUUACGGAGUGUGGGGCCGUCUGUGGUACGGUAUGUAGAUUAUGGCAUGUUUCUGCUUUAAUUACGGAGUGUGGGGCCGUCUGUAGAUUAUGGAAUGUUUCUGCUUUAAUUACGGAGUGUGGGGCCGUCUGUGGUACGGUAUGUAGAUUAUGGCAUGUUUCUGCUUUAAUUACGGAGUGUGGGGCCGUCUGUGGUACGGUAUGUAGAUUAUGGGAUGUUUCUGCUUUAAUUACGGAGUGUGGCGCCGUCUGUGGUACGGUCAGUAGAUUAUGGCAUGUUUCUGCUUUAAUUACGGAGUGUGGGGCCGUCUGUGGUACGGUCUGUAGAUUAUGGCAUGUUUCUGCUUUAAUUACGGAGUGUGGGGCCGUCUGUGGUACGGUAUGUAGAUUAUGGCAUGUUUCUGCUUUAAUUAAGGAGUGUGGGGCCGUCUGUGGUACGGUCUGUAGAUUAUGGCAUGUUUCUGCUUUAAUUACGGAGUGUGGGGCCGUCUGUGGUACGGUAUGUAGAUUAUGGCAUGUUUCUGCUUUAAUUAAGGAGUGUGGGGCCGUCUGUGGUACGGUCUGUAGAUUAUGGCAUGUUUCUGCUUUAAUUACGGCACAUUUUGAUUUAUUUUAGCUGCACAAAAGGGAAGAGAAAAAACUAUAUUUAGGCAUUAAUUCUUGAGUAGUUAAGGGUUAAGGUUUGGCAUGGUGUUAAAACAGAAAAAGUAAAAUUACUAAAUGAGUGCCGAUCAUUGGGGUUGAACCCCCAAUCCUCCCAGUUCAUUCCUCUCCUUAACCCAUCCACAACAUAGGCACUCACGUUGCCCCUAGUGGCUUGUAUGCAGAAACAAUCCGGUCGAUGUGCACACAUUUUAAUACCAGGGGCUCUGUUUUAAUAACAUGGUAGUCGGUGCCAGGCACACCGGUUUGAGUGUAUCAAGAACUGCAACCCUACUGAGUUUUUCACACUCAACAGUUUCCGGUGUGAACCAAGAAUGGUCCACCACAAAAAUGACAUCCAGCUAAUUUGACACACAUGUGAGCAGCAAUGGAGUCAACAUGGGUCAGCAUUUCUGUGGAGUCCAUGCCGCAACGAAUUUAGGCUGUUCUGAGGGCAAAAGAGGGUGCAAACUCAAUAUUAGGAAGGUAUUCCUAAUGUGUUGUACAGUCGGUAUAAGCCUACUGUAAAAUGUAAAAAUUACUUUCUAAAUGUACAAAAAAUAGUCACUGUAUAAUUUAAUGGAAACAUGGCUACUGAUACCUUUCAGGGGCAUCACACUUAAUGAGUCCAAACGUUUCACAGAACCUGGACAAAAAUAGUGUUGAAUAUAAAUAAAAAGGGGAAUGUCUGACUAUUUGGCUACUGUGAUAUUUUGAUGAUGCACAUAAGGCUACAUAAGACUACUUUGUCAGCCUCCAUUGGCAAAAUCAAUGCCAUAACCAAUUGCUUUACCACUAAGACCAGUCUUAAAUAUCCGUAGUUGCCCUCACUGAAAUUCAGCGAAAGCCCGUUGAUGUUAGACAGGUAAAUCGCAGAACCUGGCAUAAGGGCUAGAAAGUGCCAGUGAGAUAGAUUGCAAUUUUGUCAUGUCAAAUCUAACGUGUGUUUGACACUUGCGCCUCAUUACCACCAGCCGAAAAUAGCUCCCCAGGUGUAAUUGCAAGUAAAUGUGAGGCCCUUGUUCGGAAUGUAAUCCUAUCACAGCUGUUCGUAUAAGGAUAAUGCAAGGUGUAAAUUACCCCUCUAUAUCCCCUAACUUCUUCCUUAAGCACAUCCAAUACCAACACUUCGAUUGUGCCACCUUACUGGGACCAGUCUCGAUUGCCUGGGAUUGGCUUUGAGGUAUUGAAAAAACAUCCAAAAAGCAUAAAACAUACAUGCAUUGUGUUAAUGUUCACUGUGGAUGGGAUGUUACAUUAAACUAUCAGAUUAACUUGUUUGAAUACAAACCAGCAUCAAAUUGUUCUGAACAAAUUGUAUAGCAUGCAGUACCACACGGUGUCUUCGAAAAGCAUGUAUUAUUGUGUAUGAAUGAGCUUACGAAGGGUUUUUCUUCACAGAGAGUUAUGUUGUCAAGCUCAACAGGUGAACACGAAGAUAUCAAGGCCCUUUUUGAGAAAACUGUGGUGGGGUUUCAAAUACACACCAUUGAGAGAGUACAAAACCCAGCCCUAUGGAAGUUCUACAUGCUGUAUGUUUCUUUAAAAAAAUAGUUCACUCAAAAUACAAAUCUGUUUUUUCUUCUUACCGUGGACGUCUGACAGUUUAAGUGCAUAUUUUGAUAAUCAUACUAACAUUUUGGUAUUAUGAAAACAUGUGGAUGAUAUUUACUGAAACUGAUCUCAAUUCAAAAUAGAAAUAACACAGUUAAUGAAGUGAUUUUCAACACGAUGCAGCUUCUAAUGAGUUAUUUUAUGUUAGCCUUGAUUUAUACAACUGUACAGUGAUUCUGCAUUUACCAUUUUAAAGACACAUUUGUUCGUCUAAUUAAAUGUAAAUAAUGGCACAAUAAUAUAGGUUGAUUCACAAAUAUUCCUUUUUAGACAAAGAGAUCAAAUGAAAUCUUCCUUGACAAGCAUCAAUGAGAAGCAGCUUUUCCAUGGUACUGACUCCAAAUACGUUGACAGUAUUUGCAGAGACAACUUUGACUGGAGAAUAUGUGGAAAGAAUGGAACUUCCUAUGGAAAAGGUGCUGGUGGGAGACUACACUGUGGGAAACUCCAGAUAUGAGAAACCACCUCCUAAAGAAACCGGAGGAUCCAGCUUCUAUGACAGCUGUGUGGACAACAUUCAAAACCCCAGAGUGUUUGUAGUUUUUGAAACGCAUCAGGUUUACCC